rnacentral:rRNA from 1 species
GACGAACGCUGGCGGUGUGCUUAACACAUGCAAGUCGAACGGUAAGGCCCUUUCGGGGGUCCACGAGUGGCGAACGGGUGAGUAACACGUGCGUAACCUUCCCUCAUCUCUGGGAUAACAGUCGGAAACGGUUGCUAAUACUGGAUAUGAGCUUGCAAGGCAUCUUGUGGGUUGGAAAGAUUUUUUUUGGUUGGGGAUGGACUCGCGGCCUAUCAGCUUGUUGGUGAGGUAGUGGCUCACCAAGGCUUUGACGGGUAGCCGGCCUGAGAGGGCGACCGGACACAUUGGAACUGAGAGACGGCCCAAACUCCUACGGGAGGCAGCAGUGGGGAAUAUUGCACAAUGGACGGAAGUCUGAUGCAGCAACGCCGCGUGCGGGAUGACGGCCUUCGGGUUGUAAACCGCUUUCAAUUGUGACGAAGCUUUUUUGUGACGGUAGCAGUAGAAGAAGCACCGGCUAACUACGUG